rnacentral:rRNA from 1 species
AUUGAACGCUGGCGGCAGGCCUAACACAUGCAAGUCGAACGGAGCGGCGGACGGGGGAGUACUGCCUAGGAAUCUGCCUGGUAGUGGGGGAUAACGUCCAGAGACGGGCGCUAAUACCGCAUACUAUCAGAUGAGCCUAGGUCGGAUUAGCUAGGUGGUGGGGUAAAGGCCUACCAAGGCGACGAUCCGUAGCUGGUCUGAGAGGAUGAUCAGUCACACUGGAACUGAUACACGGUCCAGACUCCUACGGGAGGCAGCAGUGGGGAAUAUUGGACAAUGGGCGAAAGCCUGAUCCAGCAAUGCCGCGGGUGGGAAGAAGGUCUUCGGAUUGUAAAGCACUUUAAGUUGGGAGGCGUUACCAACAGAAUAAGCACCGGCUAACUUCGUGCCAGCAGCCGCGGUAAUUC